rnacentral:rRNA from 1 species
UUGAAAUGAUAUGAAGAACUUGUUCAGAUUUGAUUUUCAACAUUGCAAUGAGUGGCAAACGGGUGAGUAACACGUGGGAAACCUACCUCUUAGCAGGGGAUAACAUUUGGAAACAAAUGCUAAUACCGUAUAAUAAUUAAAACCGCAUGGUUUUAGUUUAAAAGAUGGUCUUGCUAUCACUAAGAGAUGGUCCCGCGGUGUAUUAGUUAGUUGGUGAGGUAAUGGCUCACCAAGACAAUGAUACAUAGCCGAGUUGAGAGACUGACCGGCCACAAUGGGACGGAGACACGGCCCAUACUCCUACGGGAGGCAGCAGUAGGGAAUCUUCCACAAUGGACGAAAGUCUGAUGGAGCAACGCCGCGUGUGUGAUGAAGGGUUUCGGCUCGUAAAACACUGUUGUAAGAGAAGAAUGACAUUGAGAGUAACUGUUCAAUGUGUGACGGUAUCUUACCAGAAAGGAACGGCUAAAUACGUG